rnacentral:rRNA from 1 species
AACGUAGGAGACAAACGUUAUCCGGAGUUACCGGGCGUAAAGGGCGUGUAGGCGGUCUGUUAAGUCUGGCGUGAAAGCUCUCGGCUAAACCGGGAGAGGUCGUUGGAUACUGGCAGACUAGAGGACGGUAGAGGCGUGUGGAAUUCCGGGUGUAGUGGUGAAAUGCGUAGAUAUGCGGAGGAACACCGAUGGCGAAGGCAAUCCCCUGGGCCUGCACUGACGCUCAUGCACGAAAGCGUGGGGAGCAAACAGG